rnacentral:piRNA from 2 species
GUAAUGGUUAGCACUCUGGACUU